UUCUAAGGUGACUUCUUGAUCGACGAGAA
rnacentral:piRNA from 1 species